rnacentral:rRNA from 1 species
AGUGAACGCUGGCGGUAGGCCUAACACAUGCAAGUCGAACGGCAGCACAGUAAGAGCUUGCUCUUAUGGGUGGCGAGUGGCGGACGGGUGAGGAAUACAUUGGAAUCUACUUUUUCGUGGGGGAUAACGUAGGGAAACUUACGCUAAUACCGCAUACGACCUACGGGUGAAAGCAGGGGAUCUUCGGACCUUGCGCGAUUGAAUGAGCCGAUGUCGGAUUAGCUAGUUGGCGGGGUAAAGGCCCACCAAGGCGACGAUCCGUAGCUGGUCUGAGAGGAUGAUCAGCCACACUGGAACUGAGACACGGUCCAGACUCCUACGGGAGGCAGCAGUGGGGAAUAUUGGACAAUGGGCGCAAGCCUGAUCCAGCCAUACCGCGUGGGUGAAGAAGGCCUUCGGGUUGUAAAGCCCUUUUGUUGGGAAAGAAAAGCAGCAGGUUAAUACCCCGCUGUUCUGACGGUACCCAAAGAAUAAGCACCGGCUAACUUCGUG